UUUGUAUAAUGGGUCAGCGACUUAUAUUCAGUGGCAAGGUUAACCAUCUAGGGGAGCCGUAGGGAAACCGAGUCUUAACUGGGCGUUCAGUCUCUGGAUAUAGACCCGAAACCAGGUGAUCUAGCCAUGGGCAGGUUGAAGGUUGAGUAACAUCAACUGGAGGACCGAACCGACUAAUGUUGAAAAAUUAGCGGAUGACUUGUGGCUAGGGGUGAAAGGCCAAUCAAACCUGGAGAUAGCUGGUUCUCCCCGAAAGCUAUUUAGGUAGCGCCUCGGACGAAUACUACUGGGGGUAGAGCACUGUUAAGGCUAGGGGGUCAUCCCGACUUACCAACCCUUUGCAAACUCCGAAUACCAGUAAGUACUAUCCGGGAGACACACGGCGGGUGCUAACGUCCGUCGUGGAGAGGGAAACAACCCAGACCGCCAGCUAAGGUCCCAAAUUACUACUAAGUGGGAAACGAUGUGGGAAGGCUCAGACAGCCAGGAUGUUGGCUUAGAAGCAGCCAUCAUUUAAAGAAAGCGUAAUAGCUCACUGGUCGAGUCGGCCUGCGCGGAAGAUGUAACGGGGCUAAGUAGUAAACCGAAGCUGCGGCAAUAUACUUUUGUAUAUUGGGUAGGGGAGCGUUCUGUAAGCGGUUGAAGGUGUGUGGUAACGCAUGCUGGACGUAUCAGAAGUGCGAAUGCUGACAUGAGUAACGAUAAAGGGGGUGAAAAACCUCCUCGCCGGAAGACCAAGGGUUCCUGUCCAACGUUAAUCGGGGCAGGGUAAGUCGACCCCUAAGGCGAGGCCGAAAGGCGUAGUCGAUGGGAAACGGGUUAAUAUUCCCGUACUUCUUACAAUUGCGAUGGGGGGACGGAGAAGGCUAGGUGGGCCUGGCGACGGUUGUCCAGGUUCAAGUGCGUAGGCUUAAGAGUUAGGUAAAUCCGG
rnacentral:rRNA from 1 species